rnacentral:rRNA from 1 species
AGCAGCCGCGGUAAUUCCAGCUCCAAUAGCGUAUAUUAAAGUUGUUGCAGUUAAAAGCUCGUAGUUGAAUUUCGGGAUCAUCAGGUUGGUCGUGCCUCUGGUAUGUACUUUUCUCGAUGGUUCCUCCUUCUUGAAGAACCGUAAUGCCAUUAAUUUGGUGUUGCGGGGAAACAGGACUGUUACUUUGAAAAAAUUAGAGUGUUCAAAGCAGGCUUAUGUCUGAAUACAUUAGCAUGGAAUAAUAAAAUAGGACGGUGGUCCUGUUUUGUUGGUUUCUGAAUCACCGUAAUGAUUAAUAGGGAUAGUUGGGGGCAUUAGUAUUCAAUUGUCAGAGGUGAAAUUCUUGGAUUUAU